rfam:Triticum aestivum genome assembly, contig: Triticum_aestivum_CS42_TGACv1_scaffold_222149_3B
AAAGUACUCCCUCCAUCCCAAAAUUCUUGUCUUAGAUUUGUCUAGAUACGGAUGUAUCAAGUCACAUUUUAGUAUUAGAUACAUCCGUAUCUAGACAAAUCUAAGACAAGAAAUUUGGACAGAAGGAGUAUUUG